GAUACUUCAGAAAGAGAAUCAUCUACUUCUGAAUCAUGGUUGAUCUCAGGAGAAUGAUUAGAAUUGGUUUUUAGAAUGAUUUACUUGAGAACUGUGGAAAGAACCUACACUCUUGAAUCAGAAACUGAAUGUAUGUUGGAGGAGAAACAAAGAAAAUUUUUCCAGGAUAAUAAGGAUUUCAUUCAAAAAUCCCAAGAAGUGAGAGUUCAUCAGUGCACUGCCCAUGUCACUCAGAUGUCUUUUUCCAAAAUCCAUUCCAAAGGUUUAGAUACCUUGUAGUGACACUGUGACUCCUAGUGUAUUAGAUACCAAUCUUAUCUCCUACCUCCAAAAUAUCUGAACUGAAUUUUCUCCCUCAAGCAGCAUUAAUAUUUGCUGUCCUAGAGUGCCACGCAACCUCCAUGUGCCUUAAAAGUCCCCCAUGUCCAUCUUCUAUUCUCAGCCUCAGA